rnacentral:rRNA from 1 species
UACACUCCUACGGGAGGCAGCAGUGGGGAAUAUUGGCCAAUGGGCGCAAGCCUGAUCCAGCCAUGCCGCGUGAGUGAUGAAGGCCCUAGGGUUGUAAAGCUCUUUCACCGGUGAAGAUAAUGACGGUAACCGGAGAAGAAGCCCCGGCUAACUUCGUGCCAGCAGCCGCGGUAAUACGAAGGGGGCUAGCGUUGUUCGGAUUUACUGGGCGUAAAGCGCACGUAGGCGGACUAUUAAGUCAGGGGUGAAAUCCCGGGGCUCAACCCCGGAACUGCCUUUGAUACUGGUAGUCUUGAGUUCGAGAGAGGUGAGUGGAAUUCCGAGUGUAGAGGUGAAAUUCGUAGAUAUUCGGAGGAACACCAGUGGCGAAGGCGGCUCACUGGCUCGAUACUGACGCUGAGGUGCGAAAGCGUGGGGAGCAAACAGGAUUAGAAACCCCAGUAGUCCCAUGA